UCGAACGAGGAGCCUCGGUGUAGCAAUACAUCGGAGCUUCGAGUGGCGCACGGGUGAGUAACACGUGGGCAACCUGCCCUCGAGACUGGGAUACCCACUCGAAAGGGGGGCUAAUACCGGAUACGUUCCUCAGGUCGCGAGACCUGGGGAGGAAAGGUGGCGCAAGCUACCGCUCUUGGAGGGGCUCGCGGCCUAUCAGCUAGUUGGUGAGGUCACGGCUCACCAAGGCUAUGACGGGUAGCUGGUCUGAGAGGACGACCAGCCACACGGGGACUGAGACACGGCCCCGACUCCUACGGGAGGCAGCAGUGGGGAAUUUUCCGCAAUGGGCGAAAGCCUGACGGAGUGACGCCGCGUGGGGGACGAAGGCCUUCGGGUCGUAAACCCCUGUCAGAGGGAAAGAAGGGUCGCCUGGUUAAUACCCAGGUGAUCUGACGGUACCUUCAGAGGAAGCCCCGGCCAACUCUGUGCCAGCAGCCGCGGUAAGACAGAGGGGGCAAGCGUUGCUCGGAAUCACUGGGCGUAAAGGGCGCGUAGGCGGGAUGGCAAGUCGGUCGUGAAAUCCCUCGGCUCAACUGAGGAGCGUCGGCCGAUACUGCCGUUCUUGAGGGAUGCAGAGGAGACUGGAAUUCCCGGUGUAGCGGUGAAAUGUGUAGAGAUCGGGAGGAACACCGGUGGCGAAGGCGGGUCUCUGGGCAUCUCCUGACGCUGAGGCGCGAAAGCGUGGGGAGCAAACGGGAUUAGAUACCCCGGUAGUCCACGCUGUAAACGAUGACGACUAGGUGUGGGGUGUUCAGUCCAUUCCGUGCCGCAGCUAACGCAUUAAGUCGUCCGCCUG
rnacentral:rRNA from 1 species